rnacentral:lncRNA from 1 species
UAUAUAUAUAUAGAUGUGUGUUUAAUCGUAUACACUUAGUUACCACCAUUACCCAUCACCUCUCUAGUAAGUGUACAUAUAUUCUUCAUUUACCUUAUCUAUCAAAUAAGAAAUGACUUCUAAUGAACUAAAAAGUGAGGAUGUUUUAGCGACGCUUAAUCAAACAAGAAAAAAUAUAGAGGAACUCGCAGAAGGUAUUAAGAAAUAUAGUGAUGAUAAGUUGGCGAUGCUUGCUGGAAUAGAAAUAGAGAUUAACUAGAUAGAGAAGACUUGCAAGGAUAACAAAUAUUAUCUCAACUUGGAGAAGGAAAAAGAAGAAGAUGAUACUUUAGUGAGUGAAGAAUUAAGGUGUAGAUUAGAUGUUCUUACAAAAUCAAUUAAUGAUAUAUAUGACUUGUCUGAACUGUUGUUGGGAAAAAGUAAGACAUCUAUCUCUUCCGCUGAAAAUAAGAGCGAAGAAAAAUAAUUUAAUUAUAUAUGUAUGCAUGAUAGAUAUUAUGAAUCAACAUAAUAACAAUUACAAUAACGAUGAUUAUAUAUGUAUGCAUGCUAGAUAUUAUUAAGUGUUACAAUCAAGCAUACAAUUAAAUCAAGCAUACAAUUAAAUAAUAUACAAUUAAAUAAUAUAUCCCCUUCAAUGUGUAUUAAAUCCCCUUCAGUGUGUUUUGUACAUUCGUGAAAUACUGAUUUGCAGCGAUAUUGUGGAAGUCGAAACUUGCACAAUCGAAAUUUGUCUUAGGAUUUGUUUCAGGGAUACGAUAUGCCGGAAUUCUCAAAGAACAACAGAAAAACUUGUAACCAAAGAUGGUGUUCUUGAUAUUAUUGAUGAGAUUAGAUUUCGAUCGUACAAAGGACUAGAUCGUUAAAAAGAAAAGUGUUUGUUUUUGCGGUGAUUGCCUUGGAGUAUCAGAGCUUUUAGUAGUCUUGAGUCUAGAGCGUUUUUCCUUGUCCCCUUUUGUGAAGACCUUGAAUCGCUUUAUAUAGGAAUAGUAAACCGCCUCUUCAGCGAUAUUCUCGGAAGAUUUCAAUUUUCCUUGGAGUCGGCCUAGAAUAUCGGGGAUAAGGAUACUUUCCUUAUUCUUCGGAGGUUUUUGGAAGAUUUCCUGAUUUGACUUGAACCAUCGAGAUUCUCUCAUAUCAUUUCCGAAUAUUCCGGAAAUGAUCCAACGUUUUCGGAAAUGGUUCCCUCUGCUCGAAAAUGAUAUCUUCCUUGGUAAAUCUUUACCAAAUCUUUGCCUCGGGUUCCUCUGCAGACUCUCUCCUCGGGUGGUGUAUUCGGAAAUCACCUCGAGCUGUUUUCGUGAAGCUGGCUCAGGCUGCUUGAUAAGGUCAGCUCGGGCUGCUCAGCUCGGGUUACUCAGCAAGGUCAGUUCGGGCUGUACGGUGCAAUGGCCCAUAAGAAGAAGAAACGAGCCAAGAAAGUGAAAAAGCCCGACCCUCCAGAUUCUACUCUGUUCACCAAGGACUCGCUUUGGGAUUUGAGGGCUCGGUUCGACUUUAGCGAGGGGGUCACUUUACGGCUACCGACCCCGAGCGAACGAGCCGAUAGUCCUCCUGAGGGGUUUUUUACUUUGUACGAGGGAUUUUUUUUUACUUCUGCUUUCUCUAUUCCCGAUCCCGAGGCCAAUCGUAAAGCAUCAUGUGGUCGUAUAAAAUUUCCUUGGCUCAGAUUUUGACCCGAGGCUUACGAUACCUCAUUGGGAUUUUAGUGCGACGUAUCGAGACGGAUAACGAUAUUACUCUCGAACACUUGAGAAAUCUCCUGGAGAUCCGACGCAUCUUGGGUCCUAUGGAGAGUUAUUAGUGGGUUCUCGAGCAAGGAUGAGAAGUACACUAAUCAUUUCUUCUUCGUUGCCCUUGAUGAGGACUGCGUUCCCGAGGGCUGCCUUGGGAAAGUCAUUAGAAAAUGGGACAAAAUUGGUAUUUUAUCCGAAGUUCAUGUUUGUCGGUUGUUAUAACUUGGCCUUUUCGGCUGAUUGCUUUCUUGGUUUUGUGAGCAGACCGAGCCCCAAACUUUUUCGAACGUAUUCCCGAUGACUUCUUUAAUACGCACGAAGAGCUAGCUGCCAGGAAGUGUCACUGGCUAAAGCACUUUAAGUGCGAGAGAGUCGAGAGGGGUUUGAAGCUGCUUCACGGUGUACCAUUUCCUUCUUCUUCAACUUCUUCGGAUCAACAAGCAAAUUUCUUCUUGGAGAUGCAAGGAGCAAAGAUGACGCUGAGGGAGAAGAAAGCUGCUGAAAAGAAAGCAGCGGAAGAUAAGAAGGCCCUCGAGGCGAUUUUCAGGCCUCAAACUCCGCCCGAGGUGACUGACGAGGCUGAGGGGUCAUGAGUUAAUCUUGCUGUUGUUGCAGCUCUUCCCGAGGCAACUGAGGUUGUCCCAACUAGGGACGUUGUCGAUCGGGUUCCCGAGGUAAAGAAUACUUCAGUAGUUGUUGGCUUGCCUACCGGUGGGCAGGCAAAAUUGAAAGGAAAACGUACCCGAGGUGAACAUUCCGGGGAUAAGAAGAAAAGGUCGAAGAGAAUCGCAGUGAUUCUCGUCCGAUCUUUAAAGAUAAGGUGGCUUCUGCCAACCUUAUUGCUUCCUGUGUGUGGUCGUUGCUCCCUGCCCUCGAGAACUUGGUCUAUGCGGAACAGUACGGCGAAACUUCGGCUAACUUUUUGAAGGUAAAUGGGCGUAAAGUAUUUUCAUUCCAAGGUGACUUUGCCUUAUUUUGUACUUAACAUGCUUUUUACUAUUCUGUUUCUUAGGCCUUCUCCUCGAUGAACACCAUGGUCCACUCAUAUGAUUCUGCGGCUCGUAAGUGCGAGGCGGCUAAAGAACGAUUAAAAAUAGUCCGAAUUGAGGCAGAAUCAAAGGUAGCAAAGGCCACUAUGGCGAGAGAUUGCGCCGAAGCGUUAGCCGCCGCUGAACAGGAUGCGAGGCGAAAAGCAGCCAAGGAGAAUCUUCUUUUUAGAAUCAUGAGAGAUGAAUCGAGAACGCUUCCUUUUCAGCAGUCGUGAGGAUACAGACAGACAUGUUGAGUCAGCAGCUGGUACCGAUUCAGACGCAUCAGAGAUUUGCACCACUUGAGGAUUCUAGUCAUCGAGUGGUUAAACCUGGUCUCGAGUCUGAUUUCUGGACUCAGCUUGAACAGAUGGCUAAGAUCUAUGCACAAGAGCAAAGGAAGAUUCUCCUUCAUCUGGAAGUUCAGCAAUCAUCGAAGGCUUUGGAUAAGCGACCGGUUGUUCAUCCUGUUUGGUGACUCAGAUCUAGGAGAUGUUGAUUUAAGCUCAACAUACGAUACCAUUGCUCUGUUCGGAUUCUCUUCGCCUUUAGCCUUUAGAGACAGCGACUGAUGCUCUUUUGAAGCUGCUCCCGACGAGUCUGAUGACGGCAUCAUAGAUCUGGGUUGUACGAGCCUUCAAAGUCCAGAGAGAAUCCCAUUCAUCUUCAAGCAAUAUCUCGGAAUGGUUCUCUUUGAGCACAAGUCUUUGACUUAUCGACUCCCUAGGCGAGUUUGAUUUGACAUUAGAAACCCAAACUCUUUUCCCUCCAACCUAGAUAUUAAGCGAUGGGCUUACUCUUCGUGGACCUUCGAAACAAAUAGGCUUAGGCUUAAAACACCUAAAAUAAAUAAAACUUGAAACACUUAACAAACUCAUCAAUGCACACUUGAUAGCAAGUCAUUGAUUUGUACACCCCAUUGAUCAACAUCACAUAUUAGCACAGUUCAGAUUUUAAAUCAUUUAGCACGUAUUCAUUCACUCAUGAACAGAGUUUAGUGACCCAAAAAGGCAUUGAUACAUUAAGUACAUUAAGUUAGAUUCAGAUCAUUUUCAGAACUCCACAAGAAGCUGCCACAACCUUAUAGAUCUUUGAUAGAUCGACUCUGGGUUUAGUGGCUAAUCUUUCACACUGUCAUGCCUUUAAUUCCAGUACUUCAGACCAACAUGUAACAGGCCGUUGGAAUUUUAUCUGGAGAUUUCUCAAGAAUCAGAAGUGUGAUGUUUUUAUUUCCACACUUCUUCAGAUUUAGAGACAACAAGUUUUUCCCGUUUUUUCUUCUCUUUUUUAUUUUCUUUUUCAGAUUCCUGUUACACUAUGAGUUUCAUAUCAGCAUCAUCACUUGAGUUCUCAACUGCUGAUAUCAGUGUAUUGUAACCUUGACAAGUAUGUAUCAUUCGUAUCACUUGGUAUUUAGAGAACCAUCAAGGCCUAGACACUGCUUAGUCAAAUUUGCACAAUAGGUUGCUCUCCUAAUAUCUUUUACUUCCUGUUACACGGCAACGUUUUACAACCGACUACUAAAACCGGGUCUGACACCAAUUGUAGAGGUAUAGAGGAUACACAACACGGUGAUUUUGCUUGGAACGCGCCAAGCAAACUCUUUUCUAUUUAUUCUUAUUGUUAAUAAUUUUUUUACAAGGAUUAUAUUAUCUCGCCAGUUACUUGAUCUAUUGUACCCGAAUAAUCAAAUCCAACUAAGAACAAAUCUAAGCCUAAUUCUCUCGUCUGUUUCUUAUCACUCACCCGUGAAGACAAAGAGAAUUAGAAACACUCACCUUCUAAGCUAUUGCAAGGCUUCGAAGAUAACACACUUAUAAAAAUAUUCUAGAGUGCUUAGGCGGCUUAAUGUCAACUCCUAGAAUAUUUAUACUAUUCUCCAGAACCCUAAAUCGUAGGAUCUCUGAGAAUCAAGAGCGGCAACUUCCUUGAUCUUCAAGCUUAUCCCUUUCCUUAUUUAUUGAGAAGUAUAUUCACCAAAUCUUCUCAACCGACUUUCGUCUUUGAUGACCACGCCAAGUCAGUAAGCCUCCUUGGUUUGUCACAUCACCCGCCCCAGCUUCGCCACGCCACCUCACGCGUCCAUGUCAGCAACUCAAACGUUUGAUGUAGAUUUGAUGCAGCUUGUUGUUAUCCAACAGCUCUCUGAUAUCUAUCAGCUCGUUGUUGUCAGAAUCUACAUCUUCAACUAUAUCAUAUUGACAUAUUUUUAUCGAUGAUAGGUUGUUCUAAUACUUGUGAUAGAUUACUCUGGUUGAUGAUAUUUUUUGUGGAUGAAUAAUAUACAUAUUGUUAUGAUGUAAUUGAAAUAGUGUUAGGUGUACAAGUACCUGAAUAUUGUUUGCUGCAAAACUGAAUCGUGCUGGGUAGAUGAACAUGAGUUUUGUUAGAUUUUUAAUAUGUAUAUUUUUUCUCACUAGGUUAUAAUUGUCCCAAACCUAUAUGAUUGUUGCUCAUGAUUUCCGAUGCCGGUGGCUCUACUCAUCUAUUUUGUAUGAUUCUACAAUAUAUAUGAUAUAUUAUUUAAUUGUAUGCUUGAUUGUAACACUUAAUAAUAUCUAGCAUGCAUACAUAUAUAAUCAUCCUUACUGUAAUUGUUAUUAUAUUGAUUCAUAAUAUCUAGCAUGCAUACAUAUAUAAUUAAAUUAUUUUUCUUCGCUCUUAUUUUCAGCGGAAGAGAUAGAUGUCUUACUUUUUCCCAACAACAGUUCAGACAAGUCAUAUAUAUCAUUAAUUGAUUUUGUAAGAACAUCUAAUCUACACCUUAAUUCUUCACUCACUAAAGUAUCAUCUUCUUCUUUUUUCUUCUCCAAGUAGAGAUAAUAUUUGUUAGCUUCCUUGCAAGCCUUCUCUAUCUGGUUAAUCUCUAUUUCUAUUCCAGCAAGCAUCGCCAACUUAUCAUCACUAUAUUUCUUAAUACUUUCUGCGAGUUCCUCUAUAUUUUUUCUUGUUUGAUUAAGCGUCGCUAAAACAUCCUCACUUUUUAGUUCAUUAGAAGUCAUUUCUUAUUGGAUAGAUAAGGUAAAUGAAGAAUAUAUGUGCACUUGCUAGAGAGGUGAUGGGUAAUGGUGGUAAUUGAGUGUAUAUGUGGGGAUGACUUAUGAGUGAAGUAUUGGUAAAAUAAUAACUAAAUCUUUUUUAAAAGAUCUUUUCCAUAAAAUUUAAAUGACCUAAUAUUGUAAUGUGGUUGACUCACCAGCAUUGAUUUUUAUAUAUAUUAUAUAUAUAUAUAUAUAUAUAGUUUUUCAAUAAUAUUUAUUACUUUCAUAAUAUUUAAUUAGAUCAUAUCCACUUCUUUUUAAUUUGGUGAUCAUAACUUUUUAACUCUUCACUUUUCCUUUUUAAUGAAAUUUAUUAUAUCCCCAUUGUAUUUCCCUGUCUUAGGAAUUUCUUUAACAAAACUACACAUUAUUAUACCUUUUUUUUUACAUCAACUAGAUAGCAUUAUACAAAAUAAUAACCAAAUAUUACAUAUAUAUGUAAGAUCUUUUUCCAUAAAACUUAAAUGACCUAAUAUAAUGUGGUUGACUCACGAGCAUUGAUUUUUACAUAUGAGAUAUAUGUAUAUUUUUUAUAAUAUUUAUUCUUUCUAUAAUAUUUAAUUUGAUCAUAUUCACUUCUUUUUAAUAUGCAGAUAAUAACUUAUUACUUUACACUUUUCCAUUUUAAUGAAAUUUAUUAUAUCCUCAUUGUAUUUCUCUUUCUUAGGUAUUUCUUUAACAAAACAACAUAUUAUUAUACUUAUUUUUUUGCAUCAACUAGAUAGCAUUAUACAUUAGUAUGGAUAGAAAUAUAAAAUUCUUUUAAUUUUAUUGUAUUUAUGCUUAAGCUUUUCUAGUUUUGUUAUGUUCUUUUUGUUUGAUAUAUUUAUUUAUAUAUAUAAAUAUAAUGUAAGGCAUAUAAUGUAAGGCAUACAAAAAAUAUUUAUAUAUAUAUAUAUAUAUAUAUUUUUUUUUUUUUCAGAACCAACAUUAUGUUUAACGUCCAAAUAAUAACGUCGGUUGUUGAAAAAUUAUUCACGUUGAUUAUAUAACUGACGCCAUGUUCAUUGUCCGUUUAUUAUUUAUUUUUUUAUUUAUGGUCAUUUUGUUUAAUAAAAAGAAAUAUUGUAAUUAACUAUAAACUUUAAAGAAACAGUUGACCAAUAUCAAAUAUUCAAUUAAUUAAACAAGUAGUUCUACAUGAACAUAAAUCAUAUAUAUAAAAGUUGACCAACUCUCUCCAUAUGGGUGGCACAUCAUCACACAAGAAAAUGACAUGUGUCAUUCAACAUUAUUUAAAUUAAAAAUCAGCAAAAUUAAUUAAAAGAAAAUCAAAAGUCUCCUAUUGUGUUAAAUCCUCCAAUAAUCCAUUUCUUAAAUGAUUUCUUCAAAAUAAAAAUAAAAGUAUAAAAUUAUUUUAAUAAAUCAAUUACUACUUUUAUUUUACUUUUAUUAUUUUUCUAAUUUUUUUUUAAAAUUUAAUAGUCAAUGGUCAUCACUCGAUAACGACUAAAUAAUUAUUUGUGUUGUAGUUUAGUUGUUUGCUACCUAAUAUCUUAUUAGUUUAGUAAUUUUACCUUGAAUAUUUUUUUAUUAUUACGUUAUGUUUCAUAUCUUAUCAUAUGACAUUCUCUCUUUUCAUUUUUGUAUCUUAUGGUAAGUUCGUAACAUUGACAUGCAAAAUUUUACAAGUAAUAGGCUUUUGAGACGUUAGACAUACCACGAAAUUCAAAACAAAUUCAUUUCUCUUAUAUGGCUAUAUGCAAUAACAUAAAAUCUAAAAGUGUUACUUAAAUAACUCUUUAAUUUUUGCUUUCUUUUUCUUCUUUUCAUACGAAAACUCUUGCGAUCAAAAUAUCUUAUAUUCUUGUUGUCUGUAUUCAUGAUAAUGAACAAAUACUAGAAUCUUAGAUAUACAAAUAAUUAGAUUAUAUAUGAAAAUGUAUAAUUUGAUAUUUAGAGUCAAAAACGAAUCUAACAAUAAAAAUUGUAAGUACAAUUCUAAUUAAAAGAUGAUGUGUAAAAAAUAAAAGCUGAAUCAAAUUAAUGAAAUGAUUUGAUUGGAAGAUAGAAAGCUGAUGUGUCAGCUCCAGAAUAGCCUAAAAUGCUGACGUGGCGGAAGGAUGGAGAGAGUUGGCCUCCUUUCAUAUAUAUAUAUAUAUAUAUAUAUAUAUAUAUAUAUAUAUAUAUAUGAUUUUUUUGCAUCAACUAGAUAGCAUUAUACAUUAGUAUGGAUAGAAAUAUAAAAUUCUUUUAAUUUUAUUGUAUUUAUGCUUAAGCUUUUCUAGUUUUGUUAUGUUCUUUUUGUUUGAUAUAUUUAUUUAUAUAUAUAAAUAUAAUGUAAGACAUAUAAUGUAAGGCAUACAAAAAAUAUUUAUUUUUAUAUAUAUUUUUAUUUUUUUCAGAACCAACAUUAUGUUUAACGUCCAAAUAAUAACGUCGGUUGUUGAAAAAUUAUUCACGUUGAUUAUAUAACUGACGCUAUGUUUAUUGUCCGUUUAUUAUUUAUUUUGUUAUUUAUGGUCAUUUUGUUUAAUAAAAAGAAAUAUUAUAAUAAAAACUUUUCUUUUUUUGAUUCUGGACCCCGAGAGUUAUUUCUUUCAAUCUCUUAACUAUAAAUUUUUAAGAAACAGUUGACCAAUAUCAAAUCUUCAAUUAAUUAAACAAGUAGUUCUACAUGAACAUAAAUAUCUUAGAAAAGUUCUACAUACACAUAAAUAUUUUAGAAAAAACGGUCAAAUCCAUGAUAUAUCAUCUAGCAUGCUAAUCUUAUAGCAGUCUGAAAAAAUAAAGACUUCGAGGAGAAGGUACAACAUAUGCAUAUUGUUGACCGUGCAAGAUUCAAAUGUUAACAUAAGAACAGAACAACAAUGAACCAUAUAGAGGAAAAGUCCAAUUUAUAUGUAAAUGCAAAACCUUUACUAAGGCUCACAAAACAGCUAAAGCAUCAAAAACUUCCCGUGGACAAAACGUAGAGAAAGCCAUAACAUCAAAAUUGUUUCAUACUUUCAUUUGUAUGUUAUUUCUCUAUAAAGGAACUCAAUUCCACUGCUAAGUCAAGAUUUUAUGUAAAACAAGACUAAUUUCCAUAAAUUUUAUUUUCUAACAUUAGUGAUUCAAUAGCAUGACGAGAAAUGAACAGAUCCAAAUCCAAAACAACCAUGGGAAAUGUGAAUUAUUCAUCUUUCGACAUUGAAAUUGGAAAAAAAAUCACUAAAGAUUGAAUCAAAUCCUUUGUUUUAAAUCAAAAGACUUAGAGCAUCUCAAAUGCCUACUUCUAUUUUAGAGCACCUUUAUUUUGGAGGUGAUUUACGAAAUCGAUUUCAGAGCAAUCGACGAUGCAAGUUACGAAAGUUUCCAGUGUUCUCCAAUAUCGAAAUUUCAGUUUCCAGUGUACUCUCAUAUCUUUUUUGUAUGCCUUACAUUAUAUUUAUAUAUAAAUAAAUAAAUAAAAAACAAAAAGAACAUAGCAAAACUAGAAAAGCUUAAGCAUAAAUACAAUAAAAUUAAAAGAAUUUUAUAUUUCUAUCCAUACUAAUGUACAAUGCUAUCUAGUUGAUGCAAAAAAUAAGUAUAAUAAUAUGUAGUUUUGUUAAAGAAAUACCUAAGAAAGGAAAUACAAUGAGGAUAUAAUAAAUUUCCUUAAAAAGGAAAAGUAUAAAGUAAAAAUUUAUUAUCUGCAUAUUAAAAAGAAGUGAAUAUGAUCAAAUUAAAUAUUAUAAGAAAGAAUAAAUAUUAUAAAAAAAAACUACAUAUAUCUCAUAUGUAAAAAUCAAUGCUUGUGAGUCAACCACAUUAUAUUAGAUCAUUUAAGUUUAAUGGAAAAAAAUCUUAUAUAUAUAAAAAUUUGGUUAUUAUUUUGUAUAAUGCUAUCUAGUUGAUGUAAAAAAAAAUAUAAUAAUAGGUAGUUUUGUUAAAGAAAUAAAUUAAAAAGGAAAAGUGAAGAGGUGAAAAGUUAUUAUCUGCAAAUUAAAAAGAAGUGUAUAUGAUCAAAUUAAAUAUUAUGAAAAUAAUAAAUAUUAGAAAAAAACUAUAUAUAUAUAUAUAUAUAUCAUAUGUAUAAAUCAAUACUGGUGAGUCAACCACAUUAUAAUAAUAGAUCAUUUAAAUUUUAUGGAAAAAGAUCUUAUAUAAAAGAUUUAAUUAUUAUUACCAAUACUUCACUCAUAAGUCAUCCCUACAUUAUAUAUAUAUAUAUAUAUAUAUAUAUAUAUAUAUAUAUAUAUAUAUAUGUGUGUUUAAUCUUAUACACUCAGUUACCACCAUUACCCAUCACCUCUCUAGCAAAUGCACACAUAUUCUUCAUUUACCUUAUCUCUGAAAUAAGAAAUGGCUUCUAAUGAACUAAAAAGUGAGAAUGUUUUAGCGACGCUUAAUCAAACAAGAAAAAACAUAGAGGAAUUCACAGAAGGUAUUAAGAAAGAGAGAGAUGAUAAUUUGGCGAUGCUUGCAGGAAUAGAAAUAAAGAUAGACGAAAUAGAGAAGAAUUUCAAGGAAGCUAACAAAUAUUAUCUUUAUUUGGAGAAGGAAAGAGAAGCAGAUGAUACUUUAGUGAAUGAAGAAUUAAGGUGUAGAUUAGAUGUUCUUACAAAAUCAAUUAAUGAUAUAUAUGACUUUUCUGAACUGUUGUUGGAAAAAAGUAAGACAACUAUCUCUCUUGCUAAAAAUAAGAGUGAAGAAAAAUAAUUUAAUUAUAUAUGUAUGCAUGCUAGAUAUUAUGAAACAUCAUAAUAACAAUUACAAUAACGAUGAUUUAUAUGUAUGCAUGCUAGAUAUUAUUAAGUGUUACAAUCAAGCGUACAAUUAAAUAUCUUUUAUAUAAAAUAAACAAUUAUAUUUUU